UACGUAGGGUGCAAGCGUUACUAGGAAUUACUGGGCGUAAAGCGUGCGUAGGUGGCUUGUUAAGUCUGAUGUGAAAGCCCUGGGCUCAACCUGGGAAUGGCACUGGAUACUGGCAAGCUAGAGUGUGGCAGAGGGUAGUGGAAUUCCUGGUGUAGCAGUGAAAUGCGUAGAGAUCAGGAGGAACAUCCGUGGCGAAGGCGACUGCCUGGGCCAACACUGACACUGAGGCACGAAAGCGUGGGGAGCAAACAGG
rnacentral:rRNA from 1 species